rnacentral:lncRNA from 1 species
AAUAUGGGUGAAGAUACUUUUUUUUUGUCUUUUUUUUCUUUUACAGUUUUUUUUUUUUUGAUGGGUGCAGUGAACUUUAUUGAUGGUAUUCAAGAGAGUAGGGCUCCCUAAGCCCCUCCUUAUUCUGGGGGUCUGGGAUGGAAACUGUGAGGGAGAUGAUCUGUGUGGGGGUUAUUGGACAGGGAUUGCUCAGCAGCCAGGGCCUCUCUCUUGCUCGAGUCCUUGCUGGGGGUGGAUGGUCCAGGGUGGGCUUCUUACUCUUUGGAGGCCAUGUAGGCUAUGAGGUCCACCACCCUGUUGCUGUAGCCGAAUUCAUUGUCAUACCAGGAAAUGAGCUUUACAAAGUUGCCAUUGAGAGCAAUGCCAGCCCCAGCAUCAAAGGUGGAAGAGUGGGAGUCACAGUUGAAGUCGCAGGAGACAACCUGGUCCUCGGUGUAGCCCAGGAUGCCCUUCAGUGGGCCCUCAGAUGCCUGCUUCACCACCUUCUUGAUGUCCUCAUACUUGGCAGGUUUCUCCAGGCGACAUGUCAGAUCCACAACGGAUACGUUGGGGGUAGGAACACGGAAGGCCAAGCCAGUCAGCUUCCCGUUCAGCUCUGGGAUGACUUUGCCCACAGCCUUGGCAGCGCCAGUGGAUGCAGGGAUGAUGUUCUGGGCCAUCCACAGUCUUCUGGGUGGCAGUGAUGGCAUGGACCGUGGUCAUGAGUCCUUCCACAAUGCCAAAGUUGUCAUG